rnacentral:rRNA from 1 species
ACAUACGACCAUAGGGUGUGGAAAACAGGGCUUCCCGUCCGCUCAGCCGUACUUAAGCCACAUGCCGGGAGGUUAGUAGUUGGGUGGGUGACCACUAAUGAAUUCCUUCUAUUAUAUAUU